rnacentral:rRNA from 1 species
UGGGGAAUAUUGGACAAUGGGCGCAAGCCUGAUCCAGCCAUGCCGCGUGAGUGACGAAGGUCUUCGGAUUGUAAAGCUCUUUUGGCGGGGACGAUAAUGACGGUACCCGCAGAAUAAGCCCCGGCUAACUUCGUGCCAGCAGCCGCGGUAAUACGAAGGGGGCUAGCGUUGUUCGGAAUUACUGGGCGUAAAGCGCACGUAGGCGGACUGAUAAGUCAGAGGUGAAAGGCCUGGGCUCAACCUGGGAAUUGCCUUUGAAACUGAUUGUCUAGAGUCCGGAAGAGGAUGGCGGAAUUCCCAGUGUAGAGGUGAAAUUCGUAGAUAUUGGGAAGAACACCAGUGGCGAAGGCGGCCAUCUGGUCCGGUACUGACGCUGAGGCGCGAAAGCGUGGGGAGCAAACGGGAUUAGAUACCCCCGUAGUCCCUGAGCGGGCUGGCAAGGCGCAU